rnacentral:rRNA from 1 species
UGGCGUCGAGCGGCGGACGGGAGAGUAAUGCUUGGGAAUAUGCCUUAUGGUGGGGGACAACAGUUGGAAACGACUGCUAAUACCGCAUAAUGUCUACGGACCAAAGUGGGGGACCUUCGGGCCUCACGCCAUAAGAUUAGCCCAAGUGGGAUUAGCUAGUUGGUGAGGUAAUGGCUCACCAAGGCGACGAUCCCUAGCUGGUUUGAGAGGAUGAUCAGCCACACUGGGACUGAGACACGGCCCAGACUCCUACGGGAGGCAGCAGUGGGGAAUAUUGCACAAUGGGCGCAAGCCUGAUGCAGCCAUGCCGCGUGUGUGAAGAAGGCCUUCGGGUUGUAAAGCACUUUCAGUAAGGAGGAAAGGUUAAGUGUUAAUAGCACUUAGCUGUGACGUUACUUACAGAAGAAGCACCGGCUAACUCCGUGCCAGCAGCCGCGGUAAUACGGAGGGUGCGAGCGUUAAUCGGAAUUACUGGGCGUAAAGCGUACGCAGGCGGUUUGUUAAGCGAGAUGUGAAAGCCCCGGGCUCAACCUGGGAACUGCAUUUCGAACUGGCAAACUAGAGUGUGAUAGAGGGUGGUAGAAUUUUCA